rnacentral:rRNA from 1 species
AACGAACGCUGGCGGCAGGCCUAACACAUGCAAGUCGAGCGAGAUCUUCGGAUCUAGCGGCGGACGGGUGAGUAACGCGUGGGAACGUGCCCUUUGCUUCGGAAUAGCCCCGGGAAACUGGGAGUAAUACCGGAUGAGCCCUACGGGGGAAAGAUUUAUCGGCAAAGGAUCGGCCCGCGUUGGAUUAGGUAGUUGGUGGGGUAAAGGCCUACCAAGGCGACGAUCCAUAGCUGGUCUGAGAGGAUGAUCAGCCACACUGGGACUGAGACACGGCCCAGACUCCUACGGGAGGCAGCAGUGGGGAAUAUUGGACAAUGGGCGAAAGCCUGAUCCAGCAAUGCCGCGUGAGUGAUGAAGGCCUUAGGGUUGUAAAGCUCUUUUACCCGAGAUGAUAAUGACAGUAUCGGGAGAAUAAGCUCCGGCUAACUCCGUG